rnacentral:rRNA from 1 species
UACAGAGGGUGCAAGCGUUGCUCGGAAUCAUUGGGCGUAAAGGGUAGGUAGGUGGUCUCGUUUGUCUGGGGUGAAAGCCCAGGGCUUAACCCUGGAAGUGCCCCCAGAAACGGCGAGACUAGAGUCUUGGAGAGGGUCGUGGAAUUCCCGGUGUAGCGGUGAAAUGCGUAGAGAUCGGGAGGAACACCAGAGGCGAAGGCGGCAAGCUGGAUGGGCACUGACACUCAACUGCGAAAGCGUGGGGAGCAAACAGG